rnacentral:sRNA from 1 species
GGGAUGAAGGAGGCUGUGCCUCCGGGUUGCACGAAGAGUCCGAGUCAUUUCUCAGAAGGUUUUGAUAGGUGGGCCUUAGAGGAGACGCCGCCGAGCACCGCAAGAACUGGAAAACACACCCCUCUCUGUCUGCCUGGGAGAGCCACGGAAAUUGGCACUUCUCUGAGUGAAGCUGAGGAGAAGGCUGUAAAUCUGCCAAAACAGCCUUGAAGUAUUCUUUUGUCAUGAGGAAGUGACGGCUGCUCGAGGGAGGUGAACACCACAAGGAGAGAUGGCAUCUGGCCUGGGCCCCGCCUAGCAGCAGCUCCACCUCCUAGGCCAGGCCCUGCGGGAUGCGCCACUAGACCACCAUGGAUGGAUCCCACAGUGCAGCCCUGCAGCUGCAGCAGCUGCCUCCCACAAGUAGCUCCAGCGCCGUAAGCGAGGCCUCCUUCUCCUACAAGGCAAGGGCUUUUUUGGGGUUUGGGAAUUUGUAUUUUCCUAGCAAGGAAGUUACACAGUGCUCUGCAUUGGCUAACAGAUAUGUAUGGGGUCUGCAUGCCUGUCACUGGCAGAAACAGGCAGGCUCUUCACACAGACAAGGGAAUGUGUAAGCAAAAGACAAGAGAUGGGCCGGGAGCGGUGGCUCACGCCUGUAAUCCCAGCACUUUGGGAGGUGGGCGGGUCACGAGGUCAAGAGAUUGAGACCAUUCUGGCCAGCAUGGUGAAACCCCGUCUCUACUAAAAACACAAAGAUUGGCUGGGCGUGGUGGUGCCCACCUGUAGUCCCAGCUACUCGGGAAGCUGAGGCAGGAGAAUCACUUGAACCAAGGAGGUGGAGGUUGCAGUGAGCUGAGAUGGUGCCGCUGUUAUCCAGCCUGGUGACAGAGUGAGACUCUGUCUCAAAAGGGAAAAAAAAAAAAAAAGAGAUGCUCAUUAAAAUACAUAAAAA